ACCGCGUAGCUCAGUUGGAAGAGCAUUGGGCUAGUAUUCCAAAGGUCGUAGGUUCGAAUCCCACCGUGGCCG
rnacentral:tRNA from 1 species